GAGUUUGAUCCGUGGCUCAGAGCGAACGCUGGCGGCAGGCCUAACACAUGCAACGUCGAACGGAUCCUUCGGGAUUAGUGGCGGACGGGUGAGUAACACGUGGGAACGUGCCUUUUGGUUCGGAACAACUCAGGGAAACUUGAGCUAAUACCGGAUAAGCCUUUCGAGGGAAAGAUUUAUCGCCAUUAGAGCGGCCCGCGUAGGAUUAGCUAGUUGGUGGGGUAAAGGCCCACCAAGGCUACGAUCCUUAGCUGGUCUGAGAGGAUGAUCAGCCACAUUGGGACUGAGACACGGCCCAAACUCCUACGGGAGGCAGCAGUGGGGAAUCUUGCGCAAUGGGCGAAAGCCUGACGCAGCCAUGCCGCGUGAAUGAUGAAGGUCUUAGGAUUGUAAAAUUCUUUCACCGGGGACGAUAAUGACGGUACCCGGAGAAGAAGCCCCGGCUAACUUCGUGCCAGCAGCCGCGGUAAUACGAAGGGGGCUAGCGUUGCUCGGAAUUACUGGGCGUAAAGGGAGCGUAGGCGGAUAGUUUAGUCAGAGGUGAAAGCCCAGGGCUCAACCUUGGAAUU
rnacentral:rRNA from 1 species